rnacentral:lncRNA from 1 species
UUCUUUGGGGGGCUUUAUACUGAUGUAUUGGAAGGGAACUGUUGGUACUGAAAUUGCUAAGGAGAUCCUGAGGGCUUUGUUGGACUCCCUGAAGUCAAGCUAAAGAGAUGAGCCCUCCAUGGAAAUGUGACUAUUCACAUACAGUUUUUUUGUGCUUUAGAUGUGGAAACAACUUCUGUGCAUCUCAUCGCUAUGCAGAAGCUCAUGGCUGCACUUAUGACUACAAAAGUACAGGGAGGAGAUACUUGCAGGAGGCAAACCCUGUGGUCAACGCACCAAAACUUCCCAAAAUCUAAUUCUUCUCUGCGCUUUACUGCUUUGCCUGAGGAAUCGAUUAUAUUGACAGAGAAAUAUUGUUUAGACUGCAUUAUUUUUGUUCGACUCCAAAAGAUUUGCCAAAUAACAAGCGCACACAGUGUGCACUGUUGGAGACUGAAAAUGCCUACUGUAUUGAUGUCUUUAU